rnacentral:pre_miRNA from 1 species
GGAGUACUCCCUCCGUUCGGAAUUACUUGUCUCGAAAAUGGAUGUAUCUAGAACUAAAAUACGUCUAGAUACAUCCAUUUCCGUGACAAGUAAUUCCGAACGGAGGGAGUAGUAA